rnacentral:rRNA from 1 species
CCAAACCGAGAAGCUUGCUUCUCGGGGUUGUAGGACUGGACAUUGGAGUUACCAAAGUUCGACGUAGUCGAAGUCAGCUGGAAAGCUGCGCCAUAGAAGGUGAAAGCCCUGUAAACGAAACGGCGGACUCUCCGUCCAGGAUCCUGAGUACGGCGGAACACGUGAAAUUCCGUCGGAAUCCGGGAGGACCAUCUCCCAAGGCUAAAUACUCCCUAGUGACCGAUAGUGAACCAGUACCGUGAGGGAAAGGUGAAAAGCACCCCGGAAGGGGAGUGAAACAGUUCCUGAAACCGUGUGCCUACAAUUAGUCAAAGCCCGUUAACGGGUAAUGGCGUGCCUUUUGUAGAAUGAACCGGCGAGUUACGUUUGCCUGCGAGGUUAAGAUGAAAAGUCGGAGCCGGAGCGAAAGCGAGUCUGAACAGGGCGCUUCAGUAGGUAGAUGUAGACCCGAAACCAAGUGACCUACCCAUGACCAGGUUGAAGGUGUGGUGAAACACACUGGAGGACCGAACCCAUGUAUGUUGAAAAAUGCUGGGAUGAGUUGUGGGUAGCGGUGAAAUUCCAAACGAACUUGGAGAUAGCUGGUUCUCUCCGAAAUAGCUUUAGGGUUAGCCUCGGAGGAUGGAUCAUGGAGGUAGAGCACUGUUUGAACUAGGGGCCCGUCAAGGGUUACUGAAUUCAGAUAAACUCCGAAUACCAUUGAUCUUACUCCGGGAGUCAGACAGUGAGCGAUAAGGUCCAUUGUCGAAAGGGGAACAGCCCAGAUCACCAGUUAAGGUCCCUAAAUUUAUGCUAAGUGGAAAAGGAUGUGGCGUUGCACAGACAACUAGGAUGUUGGCUCAGAAGCAGCCACCAUUUAAAGAGUGCGUAAUAGCUCACUAGUCGAGUGGCACUGCGCCGAAAAUAUACCGGGGCUAAGCAUAAUACCGAAACUGUGGGUGCACCCGUCAGGGUGCGCGGUAGGAGAGCGUUCUAAGGGCGUUGAAGGUCGAUCGUGAGGACGGCUGGAGCGCUUAGAAGUGAGAAUGCCGGCAUGAGUAGCGAAAGAUCAGUGAGAAUCUGAUCCACCGUAUGACUAAGGUUUCCUGGGGAAGGCUCGUCCUCCCAGGGUUAGUCGGGAUCUAAGGCGAGGCCGCAAGGCGUAGUCGAUGACAAGCAGGUUGAGAUUCCUGCACUAGUUUAUUUUGUUUAAGCGAUGGAGGGACGCAGGAGGCUAAGGAAAGCGCACGGCUGGAAAAGUGCGUCCAAGCAGUAAGUCCGGUAGCGAGUGAAAUGCUUGCCGCCUUAAGGACAAGCUGUGAUGGGGAGCGAAAUUAAAGUAGCGAAGUUCCUGAUGUCACACUGCCAAGAAAAGCUUCUAGUGAGAAAUAAACUACCCGUACCGCAAACCGACACAGGUAGUCGAGGAGAGUAUCCUCAGGUGAGCGAGCGAACUCUCGUUAAGGAACUCGGCAAAAUGACCCCGUAACUUCGGAAGAAGGGGUGCUGACCGCAAGGUCAGCCGCAGUGAAUAGGCCCAAACAACUGUUUAUCAAAAACACAGGUCUCUGCUAAAUCGUAAGAUGAUGUAUAGGGGCUGACGCCUGCCCGGUGCUGGAAGGUUAAGAGGAUGAGUUAGCGCAAGCGAAGCCCAGAAUUGAAGCCCCAGUAAACGGCGGCCGUAACUAUAACGGUCCUAAGGUAGCGAAAUUCCUUGUCGGGUAAGUUCCGACCCGCACGAAAGGCGUAAUGA